rnacentral:lncRNA from 1 species
GGCUUCAUGUCACCUCUCUCUUUUAAAAUAACUCAGAGUUCCGUUGUUUGUUUGGUUUUUUUGUUUUUUGUUUUUUGUUUUUUUUUUUUUUUUUGCUGCUCAUGGGUGUGGGGUCAGUCCUCUGAUAUGGUGACCAACCCUUGGCUACCCCUGGCAUUUCCUCCCCCAGAAGCCAUCUGCUGCCCGUAGCUCCUUAGUUAAGGCUUGCUUCUUGUGAGCCGCCGCCCCUCCAGUCUUGCGUGUCGACUAACCCGAUCUCACGCAGGCCUUGUUCAGGCUCCCACAGCUGCGUCAAGUCCAUGAGUGCAGUGGUCCGUCAUGUCCUGAAGACGAUGUUUACCUCAGGCCUCCCAACCUCUGGCUUUGACAGUCUUCCUCCCUGUUCUUCCUCAGUAGUCUGGGGGUUGGGGGUGACAUCAGUGUCCCGUUUGUGGCCGAGCAUUCCACUGGCACUCACUCUCUGUACUUUGUCCAGUUGUGUGUGAGUCAGCCACCCUCCUUAAGGAUAUUGCUACCAAGGCAGUUGUGGUGAGAAGCACGGGCUUGAGUCAAGCAAGCUGCCUAGUGCGGCUCCCCAACUGCAUGGCUUGCCCACUGGAGAGCUCCGUGCAAAGAGCUUCGCCUUUCUUGCUGUCCCCACCCCACCCCACACCCCGUUUGUAAGUGGGAGAUGGGGAUACUUCCUUGGGAGGGCAGUGUGAGGGUGAGUGUGUGGAACUGUGUCUGGCACAGAACAAGAGUGUAUUGAGAUGUAUCCAAGGUGCUGUGUAAAAGCCUGAGUGGGCCACCGCAGGAAAGAUGCUGAGAUCUCAGAAGCCAAACUCAGGUCAUGCUAGUCUCCUGACUGGGAAGUCUGGUCUCUUUUACAGGACAUGGCCUUGUAGGAUCCCAGCAGCUUGGAUCUUCCUGAAAGAGGAGGGCGGGCCAAGCCCUGGGCCAGAGAUGUGAGUGGACCGAUGCUAGGCCAGGUGCCGCCUACCUUAGGGCUCCUGCUCUCUGCAGCACAAAGACCAUCUGAAUCCUCCUUCCAUAGACAACUGUGGGAGGAAGGCCUGCUGGUCACCUGCUGGGCCUUUCUGGCUCAGGGUGUAGUGCAGACCUAGGCCUCAUUUGAAUAAAGGCUUACAGCGGUACAGAAGGAUCCGCUCUUCCCACCCCCAUGGGACUUGGGGCGGUGCUUGAUCCCAAGCUUCUGUUGGAUCUAUACAACUGGACGCUGGGUGCCACAGGUUGAGGGCAAAGGCACAUGAGCAAUUGCAGCAGUCUACAGAUGCUGGCUUCCAGCCCCCUCCCAGGGUCCCCAAGGAAUGCAACCCCAAACUAUUGUGCCUACUUGGAGUUUGGACUUUGCCUAAGGAGAAUGAGCUGAGAAGAGAUUAAGCAUCUUAAUAUGUUCUGUUGUGUUUGUAGCUUUCCGUGAAGAAGGUGAGGCUGGGUCUUGAUUUAACGUGCUCAUGAGACAAGAGCGCCUGCUGGCUUACUCUGGGCUUGGUUUCCAAGUCUGUGGGUAGCAGGCUACCCCUACCCCCACUAACACUCAGCCUUUCCAGGUGUCUGUGCCCAGUACAGGGUGGUCUCACCUCCUGGGAGCACACUGUCAUCUUAGCCAUGGGGACCAUGACAAGAAGCAACAAAAAACUAAUAUUGGGGAUUCAAAAUACAUUUGCUUUCCCACCAAUAAUCUCCUUUGUCCUGACCUUGUUUAGCAGCAGAAGUAUAAGGAAGUAUGUGUAGAGCAAGUCGGUUUCCAUGGCCUUGCCCCAUAUCCAACAGUGUUAGAACCCAUGACGGGAAGGCAGAGAGAUGGCUCAGCAGGAAAAGGUGCCUGCCACCAAGACUGAAGACCUGAGUUCAGUCCCCACAACCCACGUGGUGGAAGGAGGGAACUAAGUCUGGCAAGUCGUCCUUUGACCUUCACGCAUGCCCCAUUCCAAACACACAAAUAAAAUUAUUUUGUUUCAUUUUAUUUUAUGUUUUGAUUUUUCAAGACAUGGUUUCUCAGGGUAACCCUGGCUGUCCUAGAACUCACUCUGUAGACCAGGCUGGCCUCAAACUCACAGAGAUCUGCCUGCCUCUGCCUCCCAUGUGCUGGAUCUAAAGGUGUGUGCCACCACACUCAGCUAUAAAAUAAUUU